AGAGUUUGAUCAUGGCUCAGAUUGAACGCUGGCGGCAGGCCUAACACAUGCAAGUCGAACGGUAACAGAAAGCAGCUUGCUGCUUUGCUGACGAGUGGCGGACGGGUGAGUAAUGUCUGGGAAACUGCCUGAUGGAGGGGGAUAACUACUGGAAACGGUAGCUAAUACCGCAUAACGUCGCAAGACCAAAGAGGGGGACCUUCGGGCCUCUUGCCAUCGGAUGUGCCCAGAUGGGAUUAGCUUGUUGGUGGGGUAACGGCUCACCAAGGCGACGAUCCCUAGCUGGUCUGAGAGGAUGACCAGCCACACUGGAACUGAGACACGGUCCAGACUCCUACGGGAGGCAGCAGUGGGGAAUAUUGCACAAUGGGCGCAAGCCUGAUGCAGCCAUGCCGCGUGUAUGAAGAAGGCCUUCGGGUUGUAAAGUACUUUCAGCGGGGAGGAAGGGAGUAAAGUUAAUACCUUUGCUCAUUGACGUUACCCGCAGAAGAAGCACCGGCUAACUCCGUGCCAGCAGCCGCGGUAAUACGGAGGGUGCAAGCGUUAAUCGGAAUUACUGGGCGUAAAGCGCACGCAGGCGGUUUGUUAAGUCAGAUGUGAAAUCCCCGGGCUCAACCUGGGAACUGCAUCUGAUACUGGCAAGCUUGAGUCUCGUAGAGGGGGGUAGAAUUCCAGGUGUAGCGGUGAAAUGCGUAGAGAUCUGGAGGAAUACCGGUGGCGAAGGCGGCCCCCUGGACGAAGACUGACGCUCAGGUGCGAAAGCGUGGGGAGCAAACAGGAUUAGAUACCCUGGUAGUCCACGCCGUAAACGAUGUCGACUUGGAGGUUGUGCCCUUGAGGCGUGGCUUCCGGAGCUAACGCGUUAAGUCGACCGCCUGGGGAGUACGGCCGCAAGGUUAAAACUCAAAUGAAUUGACGGGGGCCCGCACAAGCGGUGGAGCAUGUGGUUUAAUUCGAUGCAACGCGAAGAACCUUACCUGGUCUUGACAUCCACAGAACUUUCCAGAGAUGGAUUGGUGCCUUCGGGAACUGUGAGACAGGUGCUGCAUGGCUGUCGUCAGCUCGUGUUGUGAAAUGUUGGGUUAAGUCCCGCAACGAGCGCAACCCUUAUCCUUUGUUGCCAGCGGUCCGGCCGGGAACUCAAAGGAGACUGCCAGUGAUAAACUGGAGGAAGGUGGGGAUGACGUCAAGUCAUCAUGGCCCUUACGACCAGGGCUACACACGUGCUACAAUGGCGCAUACAAAGAGAAGCGACCUCGCGAGAGCAAGCGGACCUCAUAAAGUGCGUCGUAGUCCGGAUUGGAGUCUGCAACUCGACUCCAUGAAGUCGGAAUCGCUAGUAAUCGUGGAUCAGAAUGCCACGGUGAAUACGUUCCCGGGCCUUGUACACACCGCCCGUCACACCAUGGGAGUGGGUUGCAAAAGAAGUAGGUAGCUUAACCUUCGGGAGGGCGCUUACCACUUUGUGAUUCAUGACUGGGGUGAAGUCGUAACAAGGUAACCGUAGGGGAACCUGCGGUUGGAUCACCU
rnacentral:rRNA from 4 species